AUUGAACGCUGGCGGCAUGCUUUACACAUGCAAGUCGAACGGUAACAGGCCGCAAGGUGCUGACGAGUGGCGAACGGGUGAGUAAUGCAUCGGAACGUGCCCAGUCGUGGGGGAUAACGCAGCGAAAGCUGCGCUAAUACCGCAUACGAUCUAUGGAUGAAAGCGGGGGACCGUAAGGCCCCGCGCGAUUGGAGCGGCCGAUGUCAGAUUAGGUAGUUGGUGGGGUAAAGGCUCACCAAGCCAACGAGCUGUAGCUGGUCUGAGAGGACGACCAGCCACACUGGGACUGAGACACGGCCCAGACUCCUACGGGAGGCAGCAGUGGGGAAUUUUGGACAAUGGGCGCAAGCCUGAUCCAGCAAUGCCGCGUGCAGGAAGAAGGCCUUCGGGUUGUAAACUGCUUUUGUACGGAACGAAACGGUCCUGGUUAAUACCUGGGGCUAAUGACGGUACCGUAAGAAUAAGCACCGGCUAACUACGUGCCAGCAGCCGCGGUAAUAC
rnacentral:rRNA from 1 species